rnacentral:lncRNA from 1 species
UUUUUUUUUUUUUGUAAUUGUUAUUUCCCCAAUAUUUUUUUUCCUACUGUACAGCCAUGGUGAUCCAGUUAUACAUACAUGUAUAAAUUAUUUUUUUCUGACAUUAUCAUUCUCCAUCAUAAGUGACUAGACAUAGUUCCCAGUGCUACACAGCAGGAUCUCAUUGCUAAUCCAUUCCAGAAGCAGUGUAGUUUGCAUCUAUUAACUCCAAGCUCCCAAUCCAUCCCACUCCCUCACCCUUAGCAACACUUGGAGAAUAAACUUGUGGUGUUCUUAUUAUUAUAGAUAACAUUGCAGGGUUAGAGGGGUUGAGUAACUGGACCAAAGUUACUCAGUAAGUAGGAUUCCAACUCUGUCUGUCAAAUCAGUCCGAGGGCUUAAUCCUGAGCUGUGCUCCUUCCUGUCAACAGCCUGCCCCACCUCUUCAAGUUGGCCAGGGUUUAUACUUCUCCAAUGUACACUUUGCUUGUUCUCACGUUUAAGCCUCUAUUCAUCAUCUACCGCUCACCCGAACUGUCCUUCUUUAUUUUCUAUCCAACCCCUUCUUUCAAGUCCUAUAUUAAUUUCCCAUUAGUUAUGGUAACUUGUUACAAUAAAUUUAGUGGCUCACAACACACAUUUAUAACAUUAUAGUUCUGGAAGUCAGAAGUUCACCUAUGGGUCUUACAAGGGUGAAAUCAUAGUGUCAGCGGGGCUGCAUUCCUUCUGGAGGAUCAGGGAGAGAUCGGUCCCUUGCCUUUUCCAGGUUCUAAUAGUUGCCUGCAUUCCUUGGCUUGUGGCAUCUCUGGCCCCUGCUUCCAUUUCCACCUUGCCUCUGGCCUUUACUCUCUUGCCUCAGUUUCUCUUUAAUAAGGACUCUUGUUAACAUAUUGGGGCUGCUCAGAUAAUCUAGGAUAAUCUUCCCAUUUGAAAACAUUUUAUCACAAUUGAAAAAUUUAUUUUGCCAUGUAAGGUAAUAUAUUCUCAGGUUCCAGGGAUUAAGACAUGGACAGCUUUGUGGGGUCAGCAUUUCUGCCUACCACCAAGACCAAUUCCAGUCCCAUCUCCACUCUCAUGUUUUCCCGAAAGGCUCCAACAGGAGGCUAUUCCAUACAUCUUAUUGCUUAUGUAGUUUUGAAAAAUGUCCCUUUUACUCAGUUGUAUGAUUUGGGAAAUGGGCAGUUUUGUGGGCUCAGAUUUUCUUAGCUGCAACCUUAGAAAUUAUGCAGUCCAAGGGUAGCAAAUAGGUAUCAUCUCAAAUGCAUUCAUGCAGCUGGUAGAAGCAGCUAAAGUUUCUGUGUUGUGAAUGAUUUUGAAACUCCUUUUGGUUUCAAAACAAAAUUGAUUAGAAUGUUUGCCAUGAAGGCAGGCAGGGAAAUGGCAGCUUGGGGACCACAUGCUGACCACUUCUGCUUUUCUGCCUUCUCUCUCUCAUUUUCAAAAUGAAAAAGGCCAUUGAAAAAAUGCAAACAGCUUUAGCUUUUGCGGAAGGUCUACUAUAUGUUUGACACUGUUUUGGUGUAUUAUCUAACUUAACUUUUUUGACCUUCGUAAUAAAUAAAUGCUGGAAGUGGAAACUAGGGUUCUAGGAGUUUGAUAAAAAUGUUCAAAUGUCAAGUAGAAGAAAUGGAGACACAAGUGCAGAUCUAUCUAAUUAUAAAUUCAAUUCUGUUCACUAUAAUAAACUUGGAAUUUAAAUUUAUUUACACAAGGUCAAAUGAAACUAGAAAGAGAGUUGGGAUUAAAAUGAUAACUGCAUUUCCCCCCCCAGAAAAAAAACACAGGUCACAGAAACAUUAGGUGCAUGGCUACAAUGCCAAAUAUAUAAAACUGGGCCUUUUGUAAGAAAUCAAAGGCUGAGUAGUAUUCCAUUGUGUAUAUAUACCACAUCUUCCGAAUCCAAUCAUCUGUUGAUGGACAUUUGGGUUGUUUCCAUCAAUAGAUGAUUGGAUUCGGAAGAUAUAUAUAUAUAUACACAAUGGAAUACUACUCAGCCAUAGAAAGAAUGACAUAAUGCCAUUUGCAGCAACAUGGAUGGAACUAGGGAAUCUCAUCCUGAGUGAAAUGAGCCAGAAAGACAAAGACAAAUACCACAUGAUAUCACUUAUAACUGGAAUCUAAUAUCCAGCACAAAUGAACAUCUCCUCAGAAAAGAAAAUCAUGGACUUGGAGAAAAGACUUGUGGCUGCCUGAUGGGAGGGGGAGGGAGUGGGAGAGAUCGGGAGCUUGGGUUUAUCAGACACAACUUAGAAUAGAUUUACAAGGAGAUCCUGCUGAGUAGCAUUGAGAACUAUGUCUAGAUACUCAUGUUGCAACAGAACAAAGGGUGGGGAAAAAAAAUGUAAUGUAUACAUGUAAGGAUAACCUGACCCCCUUGCUGUACAGUGGGAAAAAAAAUAAUGGAUGGACCUAGAAAUGAUCAUGCUAAAUGAAGUCAGACAGUUAGACAUCAAUAUCAAAUGCUAUCACUUACAUGUGGAAUCUAAAAAAAUGGACACAAUGAACGUCUUUGCAGAACAGAUACUGACUCACAGACUUUGAAAAUCUUGUGGUUUCCAAAUGAGACAGGUUGUGGGGUGGGGGGAUGCUCUAGGGGUUUAGGAUGGAAAUGCUAUAAAAUUGGGUUGUGAUGAUUGUUGUACAACUAUAAAUGUAAUAAAAUUCACUGAGUAAUUAAAAAAAAAGAAAUCAAAGGUGUAUAGUUACUGCAACCAACCAUAGACACAUAGGUGGAGGGAUUGUUUGUUUGACUAUAUUCAAAAAGGAUAAGAUGGCCAUCUGUACAUCUUUUGUACAUUUCAUACAGGUCUUUUGCCCAUUUUUCAAUUGGGUUGUUGGCUUUUUUUGUGUUGAGUUGUAUACGUUGCUUGUAUAUUCUAGGGAUUAAGCCCUUGUCAGGUGCAUCAUUUGAAACUAUUUUCUCCCAUUCUAUAAGUUGUCUUUUUGUUUCCUUUUUGGUUUCCUUUGCUGUGCCAAAGCUUGUCAGUUUGAUUAGGUCCCAUUGGUUUAUUUUUGCUUGUAUUUCUGUAGCUUUGGGAGACUGACCUGAGAAAAUAUUCCUAAUGUUGAUGUCAGAGAAUGUUUUGCCUAUGUUCUCUUCCAGGAGUUUGAUGGUGUCUUGUCUUAUAUUUAGUCCUUAAGCCAUUUUGAGUUUCUUUUUGUGCAUGGUGUGAGGGUGUGUUCUGGUUUCAUUGAUUUGCAUGCAGUUGUCCAGGUUUCCCAGCAAUCCUUGCUAAAAAGUCUGUCUUUUUCCCAUUUUAUGUUCUUGCCUCCUUUGUCAGAGAUUAAUUGACCAUAGGUGUCUGGGUUUAUUUCUGGGUUCUCUAUUCUGUUCUGUUGUUCUGUCUGUCUGGUUUGGUACCAAUACCACACAG